GCGGGUGUAGUUUAGUGGUAAAAUACAAGCUUCCCAAGCUUGAGUCGCGAGUCCGAUUCUCGUCACCCGCUUCA
rnacentral:tRNA from 1 species